ensembl:lncRNA
CCUUUAGGACGGACUGGUUGGAUCUCCUUGCUGUCCAAGGAACUCUCAAGAGUCUUCUUCAACAUCACAUUUCAAAGGCAUCAGUUCUUCGGCACUCAUGUUGAAGCUGAAACUCCAAUACUUUGGCCACCUCAUGUGAAGAACUGACUCAUUUGAAAAGUCCCUGAUGUUUGGAAAGAAUGAAGGCAGGAGGAGAAGGGGACGACAGAGGAUAAGAUGGUUGGAUGGCACCACUGACUCAAUGGACAUGAGUUUGAGUAAACUCCAGGAGUUGGUGAUGGACAGGGAGGCCUGGCGUGCUACAGUCCAUGGGGUCGCAAAGAGUAGGACACGAAUGAGUGAACUGAACUGACCAGAGUUUUCAGGUCUUUCUCCAUUUCCAGACUCAUGAGAGCAGCCCAGCCUGUUGUGCAGAGUACAGAAUGUUCUCUUCUGUGAACUAAGCUUGAACUUUUCCAACCCACUUUGUUUGAGGAACCAUACAGACACAGAGGGGAAAAAACAGGGAAGAUAACCCCCAAAUUGUUGAAAUCGUUGUGUUCUCUCUGAUUUUGGCCCUGAUCAUUUGCUUUUCACUGCUGGAAAUUAAAAAUCCCAAGC